AGUGAACGCUGGCGGUAGGCCUAACACAUGCAAGUCGAACGGCAGCACAGUAAGAGCUUGCUCUUACGGGGCGAGUGGCGGACGGGUGAGGAAUACAUCGGAAUCUACUUUUUCGUGGGGGAUAACGUAGGGAAACUUACGCUAAUACCGCAUACGACCUACGGGUGAAAGCAGGGGAUCUUCGGACCUUGCGCGAUUGAAUGAGCCGAUGUCGGAUUAGCUAGUUGGCGGGGUAAAGGCCCACCAAGGCGACGAUCCGUAGCUGGUCUGAGAGGAUGAUCAGCCACACUGGAACUGAGACACGGUCCAGACUCCUACGGGAGGCAGCAGUGGGGAAUAUUGGACAAUGGGCGCAAGCCUGAUCCAGCCAUACCGCGUGGGUGAAGAAGGCCUUCGGGUUGUAAAGCCCUUUUGUUGGGAAAGAAAAGCAGCAGGUUAAUACCCCGCUGUUCUGACGGUACCCAAAGAAUAAGCACCGGCUAACUUCGUG
rnacentral:rRNA from 1 species